AGCAGGGUCCAUGUUUAUGCAGAUCGGAGGUGCCCCUACCGUGUGGCCGCACUGUACUGUGCUGCCCGGGUAGCCAGGAAUCUCUCGGUCUCUCCCCUGCUGCCCGCCUGGUCUCAUGGGCCUCCUUCACACACCGCUCCCUGUGGAUUGCCUGCCUGGGCCCAGAGCAGGGGAACUGGAGUUUGUGAGUGAGCAGAGCAUGUUAUGUGCAGACAGGGAAACGAGAACUUUGAACCUGGCUUUCUGAGUCCAGGGGAGAGCUGUGUGGCCCCCGACACCACUCUGCCGCCAGAGGGAUGUGCCUGCUGAGCCUUUUCCUUCCACACCGCCUCUGGCUGCCGGGCCAGCGGCUUCCACUGAGACUCCCUGGAGAGCCGUUCCCGUGUCCAUCCACCGAGCACUCAGACGGAUGCUGAUGACCAGGCCGAGGGGGAGCCCAGAAGGACCCCAGGCCCUGGAUAGGGUGGCUCUGGGAGGCCAGGUUCACUGCCCGGAAGUCUGUCAGCCCUAAGCCAGGGAAGACUGGAGCUUGGCCUGGUGGGUCUGGGUGGACGCCGCUCCCCCUCCGGACUCCCUGCACAGGGAAGGAGGCCUGAGCCUCUGUGGCCCUGUAGCCGUGGGCAGAGCUGGGCCUGUCCUGUGUUCCUGCCUGGCAGGUGCAGGUGCUGGCCGUCUCAGGCGGAAGGAGGUGGGAAUCUUGGAUUUUUUUUUUUUUUUUUUUUGAGAUGGAGUCUUGCUCUAACACCCAGGCUGAAGUACAAUGGUGCGAUCUCGGCUCACUGCAACCUCCGCUUCCCGGGUUCAAGUGAUUCUCCUGCCCCAGCCUUGCGAGUAGCUGGGAUUACAGGCGUACGCCACCACGCUUAACUGAUUUUUGUAUUUUUAGUAGAGACGGGGUUUCACCAUGUUGGCCAAGCUGGUCUCGAACUCCUGACCUCAGGUGAUCCACCCAACUCGGCCUCCCAAAGUGCUGGGAUUACAGGCGUGAGCCACCGCACCCGGCAGAAUCUUGGAAUGUUUAUAGACAGCACCUCAGUUUCUGACUCCAGCUGCACACUUCCUGCCUCUACCAGCAGGGGUUGCCACCAGGCCAGAGCCAGGGCCGGGUCCCUGCGUCCAUCCCCCCGGUAGGAUGGACAUGAGCCAUCCUUCUAGGGGACUUUUUCCAGUGUGCGACUCCUCUCUGUUAGGUGGGAGGAGCCGGUGUGUGUGGCCUGUGCCAUGCUCAGCAAUGCGUGGCUGGGCUCUGUGUGUGUCCCCUGUUCCUGCAGGGCCCAGCAGGCAUCGUAGCGUGGCAGCUGUGUCCAAACCACUGCCCGGGCAUCCCACGACCCGCCAGGGUGCACGGUCACUCCCGCUGGGGGCUUUCUGUCGCAUGUGUGUCUCCUGUCGACUCUGCACUUCGUUCUCAGAGCAGAAUGUUUCCUGUUCUCAGUGCGUGAAGACACUGGUUUUCGAUCUGCGUCUAAAACCACUUUCCUGCCUUUCAUUGUAACACAGUGUGUUCAUUUGUUUAAAACAGAGUUUAAUUAGUAAUUUAGAUCUGACUGGUCAAUAUCUUAAAACUUUAUAUUAAUAAAAAGUUCUUCCUGG
rnacentral:lncRNA from 1 species